UGGAUUUGACAUCCCGGGAAUUCUGUGGAAACGCAGAAGUGCCCUUCGGGGAACCCGGUGACAGGUGCUGCAUGGCUGUCGUCAGCUCGUGUCGUGAGAUGUUGGGUUAAGUCCCGCAACGAGCGCAACCCUCGUCGUUAGUUGCUAACAGUUCGGCUGAGCACUCUAGCGAGACUGCCUUCGUAAGGAGGAGGAAGGUGAGGACGACGUCAAGUCAUCAUGGCCCUUAUGGCUAGGGCUACACACGUGCUACAAUGGGGUGUAUUUAUGAGUGGCAAUACCGCGAGGUGGAGCCAAUCUCUGUAGCCUCUCUUUUUUUCGGAUAGCACUCUGCAACUCGAGUGCUGAAUUUGGAAUCACUA
rnacentral:rRNA from 1 species